UACAGAGGUCUCAAGCGUUGUUCGGAUUCAUUGGGCGUAAAGGGCGCGUAGGCGGCCAGCACAAGUCAGUUGUGAAAUCUCCGAGCUUAACUCGGAAAGGUCAACUGAUACUGUGCGGCUAGAGUGCGGAAGGGGCAACUGGAAUUCUUGGUGUAGCGGUGAAAUGCGUAGAUAUCAAGAGGAACACCUGCGGCGAAGGCGGGUUGCUGGGCCGACACUGACGCUGAGGCGCGAAAGCCAGGGGAGCGAACGGG
rnacentral:rRNA from 1 species